rnacentral:lncRNA from 1 species
UUGUAUGCCGGAAGGGAUAAAUCUGGGGCUGAGUACAAGCAAAACAAGACCAAAGGAAGCUACCUGAGCAGUCACUGGAGCCCUAAUGAUCGCAGCCAUUUCAGGAAAUGCCAUCAAUUACAGUGAGGAGCUCAUUCAGAAGUGAAAGAUGAGUUCCAUUCUCUGUUACUUAGAGGGUGGAUAUCCUCCUCCACUGAAUGCAAACUAUUAAGUAAUGAAAAGACAGCACUCCAAGCAAUAUAGAUUUAUAGGCCAACCUGGCAAUCAAGGGUAACUGACAUGAAAAUGGAUUGCUUCACAUUUUAAUUACAAAGAUACUCUUCAGUACCAUAAAUUGAAGAAAACACUAACUUUUUGUGGCUACUGUAAUUGUCAAAGUAUAAUUACCUGUGUUUUCUCACCUACGUAUUUGAGAUAGAGACAAAACCAAGUAAGUUAAUCCACUUAUAAUAAAAAUGUCUUCUGAGAAUA